UCACAUUCUCUUCUUUUCCCAAGUUCCAAACAGAGCAUAAGUGAACCCUAACUAUAUAUAUAUAUUGCUGCGGCCUCUAAUCGCCCUAGAAGGGGGAAGCUGAAUGGUAGAACUGCCAGAGAGAAGAGAGUUGUCGGCCCAGGAAGAUUGAAUCGGCGGAGCGGCGGCGGCGACAGGAGAACGCGUGUGGACACGAAAAUACUGAUGAAAAGGGGAAAACGAUCAUGAUGUUUAUUACCCCUUUCCAAUCGCUUAAAUAUAGUUUUCAAUCUGAAUCCUUCUCUCUGUUGCCGCUGCCGCCGCUCUCUCUCUCUCUCUCUCUCACACACACACACACACAGACAAUCAUCUACUCUCUCUCUCUCUCUGUUCCGUUCCGCAAUCGCUCCCCCGGACCCCGUGAUGUUCACCUCUGAGGGUUCAAUCUCUCUCCCUCACUUGAGAUUCUUCAAUGACCCUGCUGCGUAAAUUUGAGCUUGAAUCUGAACGACACACACAGUUUAGUACUGAACCAUUCGUGCUCAACUUUGCCCCAGAGGCUGGUGUGUGGUUCUUGCUCAACCUUGCUCCAGGGCAUUCGAUGUCUUCCCCUCUCACACAGUUUCUUUUGUUUUUUUGUUUGCGUUAGCUCUAUGUGGAAUUAUUUUUUCCCCCGAUUUCAGAAUCUGAAGUACUGAGAUGGAAUUCUGGAGUUUUAUUACCGACUUUGAUUUUCUUUCGGUUGGACUCCCCCCCCACCCCACACCACCCAAAAAAAAAAAAAAGAAAAAGAAAAAGAAAAAGAAAAAAGGAGAACUUUAAAAAUCAAGAGUUAUUAGAUUUUUGUUAGUUCAAAUUAACAGAAGUCAUUGAUACUUACUACUAGUAGUAAGUAGCAGCAAAAAACUUUGAUUUUUGUUUGUAAAAGAUUUUAAGGUUCUCGUAGUGGACCAGACAAUCUCUUUGGGAUGGAGUUAGUAUAUAGUUUGAAAUUGCCAGGAAGUGUAUUUGAAAAUCUAAUUGCUACUAAAUAGCGGUGAACAUGGACCGGAUUGGUUCGGUUUCAUAGCAAACCAAGAACCAAAUCAAUACCUACAAAUUGAGAAUUUGGAGAGCCAAACCAUUCCAUAAAAUCCACUGAACCAAACCUUGUUUUAGUUAAGUUUCUUUGCUAUGUGUGACUGCUGCAAUGUUAUAGGCUGUUAGAAAAGUUUGUAUAGCAAUUUCAGUUUUCUCUUGCCCCGAUUGUGUGGUGAGUCAUGAGACACACAUCUGCAUGUUUGAAGUUAUUUGUUAUGGUGACUCUACUAGAGGGAUUCCCAGGCAAGUUGGUAGUCUAGAUUUCUUCACUGUCAGAGCCUUAAAAAAAUUACAACUGAUGUUGAAGCAGGGUAGGGGACAAUACAGGAAGGAGUCCCUGAACAACCUGAUGAACCAUGCUAAUUCCUGAAUCUAAUGAAUAGCCUGUUGUUUGCACCUAAUUUCACGAAGGGAAAUCAUAAAUUAUGAAGCUACGGCGCGGGGCAUGGCUUUAGUGAUUUUAAUUGUUGUCAAGCCUGCAGGAUUAUGGAAAAUAUGUUGGGAGGUAAAAAUAGGACUUGUGAAUGACUCAAUGCAAAUGAAUUAGUGGCGAAGGAAGCUGGAGAACUUAAUCUGAUGUAGUGAGAAGCGGGAGAACUUAAUCCGACGCAUGUGAGAAGUUGGGCGAAGCCUUUUGUUAGCUUCCAUCAGAGAAAUGAGAAAUCUUAUGGGGAUCAUCAAAUGCUGCUUUAACUUGUCCUAAUAGUCAACCAAUGUAAAUGUACUAAAAAAUCUGCAAGAAGUCUGCUCUCACAAUAUAAGGAUGGUUUCUCUCAGGGGAAUCUUUUAAUAUUGGAAUUGGAGCUUCAUUUGAGGUGCUAUAUGUAUGAGUUGAAGUAUUUUCGUUCUCUCUAGGCCAGCUUCUCUGUUGAAUUUGAUGUCGCCUCUAUUGGAAGGUCUUGGGGAAUCUAUCUUUCUCCAUGUGUUUUGGUCUUUUGACUGAGGGUGAUGCAGAGAUUGUCGGGUGUUAGGUGAGAUGUUUGUUCUUGGGUUUGUAGAAGUGUUGGGUCUUCUUCAUUGUUUCUUAGGUUGCUUUCUUUGUUGGUGACCAAUUUCAACUGUAGAUGAUUGUUAUGCGUAAUUGUGCAUGAGCUUGAAGUGGAUAACAUGCUAAUUCUUUCCUAACUCACAAUGAUAGUACCCCGAGAUCGUGUGGCUGAUGUCCACAUGUAAAAAGAACUUGGGACAUUUAUCUGUUUCUGUGCGCAGGUUGAUAUUGCUGCUGGAGGAUGGCAUUCUACUGCCCUGACGAAUGAUGGAGAGGUAUAUGGUUGGGGUAGAGGAGAACAUGGGAGGCUUGGAUUUGGAAAUGAUAAGAGCAGUAUAAUGGUGCCUCAGAUGGUUCAACUUCUCGUAGAGGAAGAUAUUAUUCAGGUACAUAUACGUGACCAUGGGAGUAGUGGUCAUCCCUCGGAGGUGCCCAUAAACCUCCCACCACCAAAAAAUCUCAGCGGGGGUGGUGAGCAGAGCUUGUUGCUUGUGGUGGCCGUCACACAUUAGCAAUAGUAGAAUUGCAUCCUGAUGAAUCUUAAAAGAUCAAGAUCAAUAUAUUCAGAGCUUUGUAUAACUGUGUCAUGUUCAUCGGAGAAUUGAAUGUCUAUUGAUUUUCUAUUCACACAUUCUACAUUCUCCUGCAAUUAUGAAGCACAAUAAUUGCCGGAGAAUUCUCUAUUUAUGCAUGAAAUUGUGGACACGAAAAUACUGAUGGAAGGGGAAAAUGAUUGUGACGUUUAUUACCCCUUUCUAAUCGCAUGAAUAUAGUUUUCAGUCUGAAUCCUCCUCUCUCUCUCUCUCUCUCUCUCUCUCUCUCUCUCUCUCUCUCACACACACACACACAGACACACAAUCAUCUAAUCUACUCUCUCUCUCCCCCUCUGUUUUCCACAAUCGCUCCCCCGGACCCUGUGAUGUUCACCUUUGAGGGUUCAAUCUUCCCCAUCCCCCCUCUCUCUCGAUCGAAAUUCUUCAAUGCUGUUGGGGUAAAGUUGAGCUUGAAUCUGAACGACACACACAGUUUAGUACUAAACCGUCCGUGCUCAACCUUGCCCCAGAGGUUGGUAUGUAUUUGUGUGGGCCAGAUUUUUGCUCAACCUUGCUCCUGGGCAUUCACUCCUCAAACACAGUUUCUUCGUUUUUCUGUUAACAAACAAGAUCACGGCAUGUGCUAAGCACUAUUUGGGUGAUGGAGGGACAACCGAUGGAAUCAACGAAAACAACACCGUUAUAAGCAGGCAAGGAUUGCGGAGCAUCCACAUGCCAGCUUAUCUUAAUGCGAUUGUCAAGGGCGUAUCAACCGUAAUGAUCUCCUACUCGAGCUGGAACGGACUAAAAAUGCAUGCCGAUCAUUAACUUAUCACUGGUUACCUCAAGAACAAACUACGUUUCAGGGUACAUAAACGAAUUAUUGAGGAAGAAAUAAAUGUUUUUUUUUUGUGUGUGUGUUCUUCUAUCAAAAAAUAUUGUGAACAGGUAACUAAAGUUAGGUAUGAAUCGACAAAUUAUUUCAGGGAUUUGUCAUCUCUCGGAUUGGCAAGGACUUGAUCGGAUCACAAGUCCACCGCACGCUAACUAUACAUUCUGGACUGUGGCAUACACAUGGUUGGUCCUUACCAAAGUAAUCUUUCAGAAAGCCUUGUUAAUUCCGAUGAAGUGAAGAAUCUCAAAUGGUCCACUUUAUCGAACUUGCGUCGUGAAAUAUAACUUGUGAAUUAAUCGCACUUGGAUUUCUACUCUUAAAAAGAAUAAGAAAUAGAUUUCUUUUGGUGCUUUAGAAUGUAGAGAAGAAGAAAUAGUCAGUUCUUACUUAAAAUGGGAUGAACCAGUGGUGAGCUAACUCCCAUUUGGUUUGCAUUGCUUUUGAAAGUAGUUUACCAAGCAAGCUGAUUUGUGUAAACCAAAUGGGCCCCAAGCUCACCGUUCUGAUUCCUUAGGUAGCGCUGCAAAUGUGCCGAGCUAUUAGGCUUGGCUCGACUUAUUCGGUACAUGUGACGAGCUCAAGUUUUCGGCUCAUUUAGUACAUGAGCUGACGUUCAACAUUACAAAGCUCAGUUUGGGUCAAAAAAGCCUGGCUUGUUCGUAUAGGCUUGUUAAGUAAGUAAACUGGGCUCAACUCGUUAAGGGUUUGGCUCGUUUAGAUAUGAACCCAGCUCGAGGUCAAGAUUUAGCUUGUUUAGCAAACAUAUUCCGCUAUGUUAUGUAUUUCCAACAUACCUCUCGAGGAUUGGUUGGUGAUAGUUCGCAGGUGACCACUCACUUUGCGAAAACAGAUGUUACCUCGGUGAUGUAUGUACAGAAU